UUGCUGUAGUAUUUUGACUAUACAAAGGUAUUGAAAUAAGACUUUAAUUGAGUGCUAAGAGAAUGGAGAUACAGAUAAAUUCUUUUUUAGUUUCAAAAAUUGAAGUUAUUUUUAUAUGUGAAGAAACAAUAAUUACAACUAAGGACAAGAAGACCCUAAGAAUUUUUAAAAAAACUGGUAUUGAAAUAUUAGUUUUUUUUUAAUUGGGGCGAUUAAUAAAAAUUAAAAACUUUAUUUAAAAUUGAUAAAAUGAUCCAAAAUUAUUGAUUGUAUGUAAAAAUACUCUAGGGAUAACAGCGUAAUAAUUUUAGAUAGUUCAUAUAGACAAAGUAGUUUGCGACCUCGAUGUUGGAUUAGGAUUCUUUUUUAAUGAAGAAGUUAAAAGAAGAAGUUUGUUCAACUUUUAAAUUCC
rnacentral:rRNA from 1 species